rnacentral:rRNA from 1 species
GACGAACCGUCCAAACGGUAUUCGGAAUCACUGGGCUUAAAGGGUGCGUAGGCGGCCUGGCAAGUCGGGUGUGAAAGCCCUCGGCUCAACCGAGGAAUUGCGCCCGAAACUGCCGGGCUCGAGGAAGGUAGAGGUGAGCGGAACUUAGGGUGGAGCGGUGAAAUGCGUUGAUAUCCUAAGGAACACCAGUAGCGAAAGCGGCUCACUGGGCCUUUUCUGACGCUGAGGCACGAAAGCUAGGGGAGCGAACGGG